rnacentral:rRNA from 1 species
AGCUACACAUGCAGCCGAGCGGUAUAGAUCUUUCGGGAUCUAGAGAGCGGCGUACGGGUGCGGAACACGUGUGCAACCUGCCUUUAUCAGGGGGAUAGCCUUUCGAAAGGAAGAUUAAUACCCCAUAAUAUUUAGAAUGGCAUCAUUUUAAAUUGAAAACUCCGGUGGAUAGAGAUGGGCACGCGCAAGAUUAGAUAGUUGGUGAGGUAACGGCUCACCAAGUCUGCGAUCUUUAGGGGGCCUGAGAGGGUGAUCCCCCACACUGGUACUGAGACACGGACCAGACUCCUACGGGAGGCAGCAGUGAGGAAUAUUGGACAAUGGGUGCGAGCCUGAUCCAGCCAUCCCGCGUGAAGGACGACGGCCCUAUGGGUUGUAAACUUCUUUUGUAUAGGGAUAAACCUACCCUCGUGAGGGUAGCUGAAGGUACUAUACGAAUAAGCACCGGCUAACUCCGUGCCAGCAGCCGCGGUAAUACGGAGGGUGCAAGCGUUAUCCGGAUUUAUUGGGUUUAAAGGGUCCGUAGGCGGAUCUGUAAGUCAGUGGUGAAAUCUCACAGCUUAACUGUGAAACUGCCAUUGAUACUGCAGGUCUUGAGUGUUGUUGAAGUAGCUGGGAAUAAGUAGUGUAGCGGUGAAAUGGCAUAAGAUAUUACUUUAGAACACCAAUUGCGAAGGCAGGGUUACUAAGCAACAACUGACGCUGGAUGGGACGAAAAGCGUGGGGGAAGCGAAA